rnacentral:tRNA from 1 species
GUCCGAUUAGCUCAGUUGGUAGAGCAUCUGACUCGCAAGCAGAUGGUCGCAGGUUCGAGUUCUGUAUCGGGCU